rnacentral:rRNA from 1 species
UACAGAGGGUGCUAGCGUUGUUCGGAAUCAUUGGGCGUAAAGGGCGUGUAGGCGGUUUGUUAAGUCAUGUGUGAAAUCCCUCGGCUCAACCGGGGAACGACGCAUGAAACUGGCAAGCUAGAGUACCAAAGAGGGGGGUGGAAUUCCCGGUGUAGCGGUGAAAUGCGUAGAUAUCAGGAGGAACACCGAUGGCGAAGGCAGGUCUCUGGGCCACUACUGACGCUGAGAAGCGAAAGCAUGGGGAGCGAACAGG